rnacentral:rRNA from 1 species
AGAGUUUGAUCCUGGCUCAGAAUGAACGUUGGCGGCGUGGAUUAGGCAUGCAAGUCGUGCGAGAAGCUUUCCUUCGGGAGGGUGGACAGCGGCGCAAGGGAGAGUAAUACAUGGAUACCUGCCCCGGGAUCCGGGAUAGCCGUGGGAAACUGCGGGUAAUACCGGAUAAUGUCUCCGGACCAAAGGUGUGAUUCCGUCUUGGGAUGGGUCCAUGUCCUAUUAGCUUGUUGGUGAGGUAAUGGCUCACCAAGGCUGCGAUGGGUACCGGGCGUGAGAGCGUGACCCGGCUCACUGGGACUGAGACACUGCCCAGACACCUACGGGUGGCUGCAGUCGAGAAUCUUCGGCAAUGGGCGCAAGCCUGACCGAGCGACGCCGCGUGCGGGAUGAAGGCCUUCGGGUUGUAAACCGCUGUCAGAGGGGAUGAAAUGCUAUGGGGUUCUCUCCAUAGUUUGACAA